UCGAGAAUCUUUCACAAUGGGGGCAACCCUGAUGGAGCGACGCCGCGUGGAGGAUAAGGUCUUCGGAUUGUAAACUCCUGUCAUGCGAGAGUAAGGCCAACGUGUUAACUGCACGGUGGAUUGACAGUACCGCAAGAGGAAGAGACGGCUAACUCUGUGCCAGCAGCCGCGGUAAUACAGAGGUCUCAAGCGUUGUUCGGAAUUACUGGGCGUAAAGGGUGCGUAGGCUGCGCAGAAAGUCAGAUGUGAAAUCCGGGAGCUCAACUUCCGAAUUGCAUCCGAUACUCCUGUGCUAGAGGACUGGAGAGGAGCUUGGAAUUCUCGGUGUAGCAGUGAAAUGCGUAGAGAUCGAGAGGAACACUAGUGGCGAAGGCUGGGCUCUGGACAGUAUCUGACGCUGAGGCACGAAGGUCAGGGGAGCAAA
rnacentral:rRNA from 1 species